UACGGGGGGAGCAAGCGUUGUUCGGAUUUACUGGGCGUAAAGGGCGCGUAGGCGGCCAUCGCAAGUCAAUUGUGAAAUCUCCGGGCUUAACUCGGAAAGGUCAACUGAUACUGCGAGGCUAGAGUGCGGAAGGGGCAACUGGAAUUCUCGGUGUAGCGGUGAAAUGCGUAGAUAUCGAGAGGAACACCUGCGGCGAAGGCGGGUUGCUGGGCCGACACUGACGCUGAGGCGCGAAAGCUAGGGGAGCGAACGGG
rnacentral:rRNA from 1 species